GUAGCUGCUAAUGUGCCAAAAACUAUAAUCUACCAAAGUUAACUGCAGCUGAUCAUCCAAGCCUUCCCCUGACAGCUGUGGCUUUUAGUACAUUCCAGAGUUCCAGAAUAGUUAGAUUAGACAGAUGCUGUCAGUGCAUUUGUUGUCUGGGUAGGGAGAGAGACUUCUGAUGCUUCCUAUGCCACCACCUUCCCAGAAUCUCUGUGCUGUUUUCUUUUAGAAAAACUUCUUUCUGAGAAGUGGGACCUAUAAUAACUGAGGCCCUUCUCAAUAAGGACAUCUCUGAUACAAGAGACCAUUUUGCAUUCCCUUUUCAAUAAAAAUCUCUGCCUAAAUAAAAUUUCCAAUCAGACCCCAAAUCCAUGAUGUCGCUGAAGCCAGUGUGCAUGGUCACAUAAAACUCAUCUUGUUUUCCACAACAGUCCCCUUGUUAAAAUCAAGUUCUGCUCAUCUCAUGCAAAUUAUCACUUGUAGAAGAGAAAGGAAGAUUUCCUGAUAGAGGGACUCACAAGAUAAAGAAGCCCAGAGUCAUUAGACACAGGAGCAGAUGUACCCUGUACAUCUGCUUGACUCACACUCACGGUUGCAUAAAUCUUUACCAUUACUUGCCGUUGUAUCUCCGCCUUCUUUUCUGCAGGAAACAUUAUUUCCUACUUCUGCACACCAAGUUUCUACCUCUAGAUCUGUUUGUUCAGUUGCUGUGAAGCCUGACCUUCCAGUGCUACUUGGAAGAAGCCAUCCACUGGUGAGUUGUGGGUGCUUUUUCCAUUAUUUUAUGAAUCACAGGCUCAAAGUAUCCCAAUACUGGAGAAGCAGGGACUGGGAGCACCCUGAAGGUUGCAUAGCUCCGGACCCUGAGGGAUGGUUCUUGGGGGUAGAAAAGGGUGGAGGGUGGUGUCUGUAUCAGAAAUGUUGUAGAGGCCCUGAUGGCAGUGAACAAGGGCAGAGCAGAGUGAGACCAUCCCAUAGGGCUCAGGUGAGAGGACAGUAUGCUAAAGAGGACAGUCAGGAAAGUAAGGACACUCAGGCUUCUCAGCAGUUUCUCCUCUCACUCAAUCCCUGCCAGCCCCUUAGGGCUUUAAAGAGCUGGAACUUUCUAUCCAAAAUACUCCCCCUCCCUCCUCCAGUCCAUAUAUGUGAUGGUCCAGGCCCUAAACCAAAAUGGACUUCUUGCCUCAAUUGAGAAGGCCCACAGGGUCUGAAGUGAGGAAUCUACUUUUCCGACAGGCAGCUUUGAAUUGAUUAAGGAAGUAUUCUGACACUUAAAAGUGACACCUUGCAAGUGUCUGCUGUGCCAGGAGUUAGAUGUGCUGGAAGGACUGGGGAAAAGUAGUAGAGGAGGAGGUGGCUGGUGGUUGAGAAACCAGUGUAGGUAAACAACAAAGCAGAGAGAACACACGGUGGAAGUGGUCAGGGCAAUUCGCCCCCUCUCACCAUACCUUCUCCCCCUAUCUGAAUCACCAGAGGGUCUAGGCUGUGCAUUUCUGACUAUCAGACUUCCUGUGAUACUGAAGCCCAGCAUUUGAAAACCACUGGUCCAGUGCAUACUUUCCCGUCCAGAUGUGGAGGUUAGCCCUGUGGUUGGUUACAGAGCAGCCCAGAGGGUGUGCUGCACUUAAGGGGAUAUGUGCAAGGAUACCCAAAAUUUUAGUCUUUAUACGAUCUCACACUGGAUUACCUGGGAGGCUAGUCCACAGUGGGACAUUGUGUUUCUUGGUAACUUGCAGCCUGCUGGUUCUCUGUCAAUCACUUACUAAAAUGGUAUUUAUUUAGCAGCCUCUAAGUGCCAGAUCGGACUCUGGGGCACCAAGACACCUUAUUGCAAGACAAAGGUCUUGGCUCCUGUGGAGCUUAUUUGUGUGUGUGUGUGUGUGUUCUGUGCACGCACACACCUCUGCACACAUAGGUGGGGAAUGCUUGUAUGGGUGAAUAUGUGGGUUUUAAGUCUAAAUGCCAAAGAAGUUCUGUUGAGGGCAUGGAAGCAUAUCUACAAAAUUGUUAUCUAUUCUAUAUCCAUCCCUGCUCCCCAGACUGGAGAUAGGAGCUCCUGAGGUCUUUUGUAACAGAAAACCCCAGAUCCAAAAUCCAGCUUAGCUAUUACU
rnacentral:lncRNA from 12 species